rnacentral:rRNA from 1 species
CCUACGGGGGGCUGCAGUGGGGAAUAUUGCACAAUGGGGGAAACCCUGAUGCAGCGACGCCGCGUGAGCGAUGAAGGCCUUCGGGUCGUAAAGCUCUGUCCUAAGGGAAGAUAAUGACGGUACCUUAGGAGGAAGCCCCGGCUAACUACGUGCCAGCAGCCGCGGUAAUACGUAGGGGGCGAGCGUUGUCCGGAAUUACUGGGCGUAAAGGGUGCGUAGGCGGUCAUGUAAGUCAGAUGUGAAAGCCCUCGGCUUAACCGAGGUAAGCAUUUGAAACUGGGAGACUUGAGUGCAGAAGAGGAAAGCGGAAUUCCACGUGUAGCGGUGAAAUGCGUAGAGAUGUGGAGGAACACCAGUGGCGAAGGCGGCUUUCUGGUCUGUAACUGACGCUGAGGCGCGAAAGCGUGGGGAGCAAACAGGAUUAGAUACCCGUGUAGUC